AAUUAAGAAGUGAAAUCUAUAUCCCAUAUUUAAACAUGAAGUUGUAUUAUUUCCACAAUUUCUAUAUAAAAAGGCAUUAUGUUUUCCUAAAAGUUUCUAAUAUUUAUAAUAUUUGUGAAUUCAUCCAUGCCACUCCAAAUCACUAUUCUAAAUUUUGUAAAAGCUUUUAGAGACUUUGGAUUUUCUUUUUCCAACUCAGAGUCACUGAGAGAUGCUGAACAUCUUCUGAUAAUCCUCAGCUUGUUUAAUAAGAAUGGGUUUUUGGAAAUAUUCAACUGAGUUUUGUCUUUAAAUAAUAAUCCCAAUACUUUCAAGCUACUCAUAUUUCAGAACUAUACUAUAUGACUGGAAAUGCUAAAUAUUAAUAGAUGAUCCCAAAGAAAUGUACAAAGUGUUAAUCAUGAUUUUUCAUUUGAAGGUAUUUCUUUAUUACUAGUUGCCAACUUAUGUACAUAUUGAGACUAGACUAUAAUUGUACAAAUAUGUUAUAAUCAGUGAAUGCUUAUUUCUUCUAAUUAUAAACCUACAUUAAAAACAAAAUUUAUCUUUCAUUAUUAAUAUUAAUGUUAAUAUUAUUUUUGUUUGGAGAGGUGUUAUAAGACUCUUGUGAAAGAUAAAUAAACAAAUUUCUCCAAGAAACUGGGAAAUGGUACAGUGAUGUUGGCAAGAUGUGAUACAUUAUCACCUUCAGAUCUGUUUCUGUAAGAUAACUAAAAAGCUAUCUAUUAAGAAAUGUUAAGUUUUUAUGUAUAAAAUACAAGUAAUAUAAUCUAAGGGCCCUUGCAAUAAAAGACAAUGAAUCCUUUUUCUACGUGUUGAAUAUUUUUCAUGCCUCAUUUUACACAUUCUUAUCCCCACCUUUUGUGAUCAUCAGCACACCGACAGAUAAUACUUGAGAGUUAUCAUUAAAACUCCUUGCUCAGCUAUAUCUCAAAUCUUUUGCUUUAUGCCUUGGACAGCCUUUCUCUCUACCAUGUGGAUGCCUGCAGAAGCCUGCACAGUCAUUCUGCCACAUGCACUGUGGAUACACAGCUGAUUUACAGCUGGGCUGAAAAAGCCUCAUCUCUGUUUCUGGGGAUUCCAGGAUAUCCUGUUUUUGACUCUUAGCUAAGGUAAGUGCAAGACUUAUGAUGUGCAGUUUAAAGUUGAAACUCUCCUGAUGAUCUCCAAAUCAGUUUCUUCACUGGUAGUUUACUAUGAACCUAAUCAGUUAGGUCAGCUUUCUUGAUUUAGUGGCCGGUGGUGUACUGCAAACCCUCACUAGAUCUUCUGCUUUGAGCUCUUUGGCAACCAAGAUUCUUCACUCAGAAGUUGGUAGUUCAAGCUGCAGAAAAAGCACUGUCUAUGUGUGUGUGAGAAUAAGGCCUCUCGGAGCUGGUGCAUGGAAUGUCUACAGGAUCUGAUACUUUCUGCACUCUUUUUCUCUUACUGGACCAUAUUGUUUGUCUUCAAAUAUGACCUUUAACGCAAGUAUGCUCGGUGGUGUCUGCUUAAUCCUUUCAAUUAUUAAAACUUGGGAACUCUUUGCAUGUAUAAACUUGGAAGUGGAAAGGAUAUAAUAAUUCUGGGACAAAAUUUGAUCAAUGAGCAGCAAAAGCCAAUUGAUACGUAUAGGCUUCAUUUGUGUCUCAGAUGGACACUUCUGAGAUGCAAGGUAAAAAGUCGCUUGGACUGUCCCAGCAACAAUGAUGUCCAUUUUAGCGCAGAAAUAUCCAACUCGUUCUUCACCCUUAAAUGGGGUUUUUCUCUUUCCCUGUUUUAUUUUUCCCAGUCUUUCUAGUUCUGAUCAUUGGCAUCAGUUCUUCAAAUGAAUUAGCUGAGUGCAGUUCCUAGAUUCAGAUUCUGCUUUGGGAGCAAACCCAAGCUAGGACAGGUUAAUAAAUCAAUUUUGCUAUUUUUCUUAUUCUUUUUCUUUUUUUUAUGGCAUAUUAUUCUUUACUAUCAAAUGGCAGAUUUAUGUGAAAUUUGAAAAUGUAAACUAUGCAAGUAUGUAAUCAUUAUUGAGCUCUUGUAAAAACUAAAAUUGCAUCAAAUUAUUGGAUGAAAAUAAUUCUGAUUAGUAAAUUAUCUUCUCUAUUUUAGCAUUCACUGUUCACUUAAGUGCUCCCGCAGUAUUAUGGAGGAAGAAUCAGCUUGUAGAAAAAGAAACCUUAUAAAUUGAGAGAAGACUACUUAUUAACAACAAUAGAUAGCAAACUGCAAUGAGUCAUAGCCUAAAAAUUCUAAAAAGAAAUUGAAAUUAGACCCUUAUAUAAAACAAAUCAAUCAACCUAAAAUAACAGAAAAGUAAAUAUGUUUUACUUUUAAUACUAUGAAAUUUUAAUAUUAUGAAACCUGUUAAAUGAAAAAGUUUAAGCCCAAGAAUGGUAGAUGGAAAUAAAAACAAUGCACCAAAAAGAGAGAAAAAUAUUCAAAAUAAUAUAGUAAAAUAAAAGACAAAAUUAGUAGUCCAUUUUGGUCAACCAAGAAAAUAUUUUUGUGAUAAGAAAAUAACAGUAAUUCUGUAUGUAUUUAAAUACUGUUUUUUAAUUAAAAUGCUAGACAAACUACUUAGAAUUUAUGAAGGAGUUUUUCAAAUAAAAGUUAAAUAUGUUAUCUUAUUUGGAACUAGCAUAAACAUAUGAAUAAAUUUUGACUCAUUUAAAAUAUAUACUACAAACUUAAGGCUAAUAACUAAAAUAACAGAAGUGUAAAUUAUAAAACAUUUAAUCCAGAAUAAGAAUUAAAGAAGUAAAAAGAGGAAGACUUUAGAGCAAAUGGAAAAUGCUAUUAACCCAGUAUUAAGGUAGGGCACAGAAAAUGUAUGCUAUACAUUCAUUGCUGGUGGGAAUGUAAAUUGAUACAGGUAUUUUAAUGAGUAACUUAAUAUGUCUGAUAGAAUUUAAAAUUCCCAUGCCUUUUGAUUCAGUAAUUCCUAAAUAUAUAUGCUAGAGAAACAGUUGUUCACAUAUAUAAAGAGACAUAUAAAAUAAUGGGCCUAGGAAAUAGUGAUUAUAAUUCAAUAUGAUUUAAACAAUCUAAAAUUCCAUCUAAAUGAAAUAGUUAAAAUAUUAUCACAUUCUUUCACACACACACACGGAUUUUAUUCAGCACUUUACAUAGUUUGCCCUUUCUUACUCUCUCUUAUUAUGCCUAUAUACACAGCAUAAUGGAUAUAUAUAUGUAGGCUCUCUCAUUAUCUGAAAAAAGCCACUAGUUAUAGCACAUGUAUCUUACAGUGAAUUUAAAACAAAACUCAAAUCUUAACUCAUGUAGUUUAGGAAAAUAUUUAAAUUUUGAGACAUGGUCUCAAUCCAGACGUUAGGAAUUAUGUCUGCCUAUUAUCAUGGGCCAUUAGAACAAAACUUGAUAUACGAAAAUCCUCGGUGCUGAGAUUACGUCAAUAUAUCAAUAUUGAGAUUAUGUCAAUACAUCAAUAUUUGUUCCAAUUGCUCCAUCAUAAUAGGAAGAAAUAGUGCCUAAUGACUGUAUUGAGACCGUGUGUUAAAAGUUGAAUAUUUUCCUAAACUACAUGAGUUAAGAUUUGAGUUUUGUUUUAAAUUCACUAUAAGACACAUGUGCUAUAUCUAGUGGCUUUUUUUUCAGAUAAUGAGAGAGUCUACAUAUAUAUCCAUUAUGCUAUUUAUAUAAGGAAUAUAGAAAAUAUAAACCAUAAUUUUACGUUAGGAUCAUUGUAUAUGUUUAUGUGUAAGUUAAUUUUCUGGCCAGUUUUAGAUAUUUGAAAACAGUUUCAUUUUUAAUUCAAUUUUUCUCUGAGUUCUAUCCCAAGCAGCCAUAAUGUGUAAGGCAACGGGACAACAGACAGCAUCCAGCAGGGAUUCCUAAGAAAAGACAAAGCUGAAAUGGGAGUCUGAAUGACUUUUCUAGAUCUACUUAUUUAAAACUUAGGAGAUCAUAACAUAUUAAGACGGAAAAAGUGAUGCUCACGCCAGAGAAGAGUCAGCCCAAGGUCAUCUAGGAUCAGUGGCACACCUAGGAUUCAGGCCCAAGGACCCCCAGCUGACCUGCCUUCCCUGGAACCUCACUGUGAGUUCUUUAACCAUGGCUGUGUUUUCAAAGUUGAACUGGGGCUGCUGUUGAUACCACCUUUAAAUGCCUGCUUUUGUCAUGGAGACCAUGAGAACUUCACUCUUCAGCUGGCAAUUUACCUGGCUGCACAGUGCUCAGGCACACACAGGCUUCAGGGCUACAAGGUAAAGGAUUUGCCAAGGCCAAGUGCUGAAACCCACUUCUUGUUUUGAAGCAAAUGAGAACUUCCACCUGUAUUUGACCUGGGUAUGUAUAUUAAUUAGUUUGGCAACUGAGAUUUUUUUCUUGAUGAUCAAAAGUCCUAACUGGCAGUUAAAUAUGUCUUUUUUUUUUUUUUUUUUGAGACAGAGUUUCCCUCUUGUCACUCAGACUGGAGUGCAAUGGCACAAUCGAGGCUCACUGCAACCUCUUUCUCCCCAGUUCAAGCAAUUCUCCUGUUUCAGCCUCCCAAGUAGCUGGGAUCACAGGUGUCUGCCACCACACCUGGCUAAUUUUGUAUUUUUUAGUAGAGACAGGUUUUCACCAUGUUGGCUAGAUUGGUCCUGAACUCCUGACCUCAGGUAAUCCACCCGCCUCGGCCUCCCAAAGUUCUGGGAUUACAGGUGUGAGCCGCUGCCCCUGGUCAAAUAUGUCUUUUUAAAAAAAUAAUAAUAAUGACUUUUAAAUACAAGUGACCUGAGUAUGCAAAGUAUUUCUAGACUCAGGGUUCUUAAAGUGAGGAAAAAUUAGCAAAAGCAUUAUUUGACAGCCCCUAGAAUAGGCCAAAUAUGAAAUAACUAACAAAUUGCAGAUAGUAGUGUGCUCUACAAAGAAAAAGAGAGCAAGACAAUGGAUUACAGAAAAGAUGAAGUUUAUUUUAGAUGGAGUAUUAAGUGACAGAUUCUAUGAGGAGGUGAAAAUUGACCAGACAACUGAAAGAAGUAAAACAGCCAUACUAGUAUCUCAGGAAAAAUUAUCGCAGGAAAAAAAGAGGAAAAAUAAAAUGACUCUAUGUCGGAGGGAGUUUGGGCUGGCAUGGUGGCUCAUGCCUUUAAUCCCAGCACUUUGGGAGGGCGAGGUGGGUGGAUCACUUGAGGUCAGGAGUUCGAGACCAGCCUGCUGAACAUAGUGAAACCCGUCUCUACUAAAAAUACAAAAAUUAGCCUGGUGUGGUGGUGGGUGCCUGCAAUCUCAGCUACUCAGGAGGCUGAAGCAGGAGAAUUGCUGGAACCUGGGAGGUGGAGGUUGCAGUGAGCCUAGAUCAUGCCACUGCACUCCAGCCUGGGUGACAGAGUGAGACUCCACAAAAAAAAAAAAAAAAGGGGGGGGUGGGUGGGGAGGAGGGUUUGGCAUGUUUAAUGGAAAAGGUCUGUGUGUGACCAGAAUAGAUGGAAUGCAGAGAAGCAAAAUAUAGAUUUUAAUUUCCAUGGUUCUUUACUGAAGAGUGUUUCUUAUUUAAGUAACAACGCUAUGAUUAAAUUGAUUGUGAAAGAAUUACAAAUCUAGAAUUUAUUGCAUGAUCAGAUAGGAGAACAGAUUUGAUUUGCUAACUCUGUAUAAUAUACUACAGUGUAAGCCACCCUCUAUUACUUUAGCAAAAGAUGUUUUUUUCAUUUUCCUGCAAGUAUAUUUUUUCUCUAAAACCUUAAUUAGCAUUUUUUAAUAUUGCUGAAAGAUGGGGAUAUAAGUUCCAUUUAUUUCUUGAAACUGAAUAUAAUUAUCAAAUAUUGAAAAAUAAUAAUGGGCAUCAUUAUAAUUACUGUUAAGUAGUUUUCCUGUGUAGAGAGAAUUAUAAAAAUAUCCUUCAUUAUCUUUCAUGGAUAAAUGAUGUUUUUCUCAUGAGCCAGAGAAAAAUUAUCACAAUGUCUGCCCAGGUGUUUCUGUUAUGCUUACAGAAGUGAGUAGUGCUAUUUGCAGACACUGUACUUUCUCUCUUUUUCAUAUGAGUACAUUAAUCAAUUGUGGAGUUGUGGCAUCUGCUGUAAAACAAUUUGUUUUUCCAUUAUUUGAUGGCUACACUUUUUCUUUUAGUUUUUUUCUCUUCUUAUUGAAUCACAUUUUCUUUCCUCUUCUUUUAAAAAUAUUGCUGUAUUGAUUUACAAAAAAUAUAUAUUUUAUUGCCUCAUUUUAAUUUUUGGUAAUCCAUGUACUGCUUUAUUAAGGCCUAUAUAACUCAUAAUCCAACUCAUCGAUUAAAAGUUCAGGAAACCAAAGAGAUGGCUUUUUCUCCAAUUGAAGAUAUCAUAAUGAUAAUUUUGGGGGCUGGUGAAAACUGAGAUUGUCAGAAGGCUAAUUUUUUCUUAGAUGUCAUUUUUGUUGGUCACAAACUAGAGAUGAAGCUCUCUACAGGCAAGUAUAGAACCAUCUCUCUGUGCAACAAUUUGUAUUUUCAGACCACUUUUAGUCUUUGGGGGUAGAUACAAUUACUUAGAAAAAUCUUCAAUGUCUCUUUGGAAAACAGUUGAUCUCGAACUCAGUUCUAAAGCUGAGUCAGCAUCACAGGAUUUCAGAUUCUUGAAUGUUAUUUUUGUUGUCUUUCUCUUACUAAAUUGUUAUCACUGAAUAUUUCUCCUUUGUUUUACUCCAUUUGGACUGCUAUAACAAAAUACCAUAGACUGAGUAGCUUAUAAUACAGAAUUCACAUCUCACAGUUCUGAGGCUGGGAAGUUCAGCAUCAAGGUGCCAGCAGGUUCAGUGUCUUGUGAGGGCCUGUUUUCGGUUUCAUGGAGGGCCCCUUCUCACUGCAUCUUUACGUGGUACAAGUGGCAAGUCAGCUCUCUGGGGCCUCUUUUAUAAGAACACUUAUAGGAAUAUUGAAUUAGUGAACGAGCUCUGUUCUCGUGAAUUAAUCAUCUCCCAAAAGGCCCUAUCUCCUAACCCAUUUAUGCUGGAGGUUGCAAUUUUUGUGUGUGAAAAAUCAGACCUUGGCAAUGACCUUGAGCAGUAGGAUAUAAAUAACUCCCACAAGCUUAGCAUUCCAAUAAGGGAACACUAGGCAUAAAUGGGCUUAAUACCCUCAUCUUAGGGGAAAGGAUUUCAAUAUGUGAAUUUUGUGAAACACAAACAUUCAGACGGCAGCAUCUUUGCUUUCUUAAAAAGUUAAAUGAAACAAGUUCCCAAAUUUAAACAAGCAGAAAUAUGUAUACAGAUAAGGGUAGAGGAAUAGUUUAAAAUUAUUUUAAUUAGAUAUUUGAAGUCCUCAGUACGCUACAUUUAUAAAAAAGAAAUGGUAUAUGUGACAGGGAGCAAAAUAAAACCCUGUGUCAUAAAAAGAAUCCACUAUCAAUUAUUUAAAAAGAUCUUAGCAAGGAAAUAUCAGCUUCGAUAUUACAAACUUUUCAGAUGUGAAAAAUGAUUUAUUUUCAAAUAUAGUUCAAAUGAAGUUUUGCCUUAACAAAAUGGCUUUUCUAAAGGCCACCUUUAGAUCAAAAUACUUAAUCUAACUUGUGCCACUUCUUGGUAACCCUUGGUAACCCCUAAAUUGUUUUCUCUAUUUUCUCCAACUACUCUACUAAAAAGUUUCUUCCUAUUUCUCCACAUGGCUUCAAAAAAGGGAACAUAAAAGAGAAAUACCAGUCAGUGAUAAUCAUGUGGAAAAAAAUAAUAAUGUGAAGCAAUUUUUGUUUGUUUGUUUGUUUGUUUGUUUUCUCUCGAGGUCAUGAUCUGGUACUUUUUUACAGCAAACUCAUACUUAACAAAUUUUAAAGAUUUUUUAAAGAAUGAACUAAUGAAUUGGGUUAGGUAAGUUUAUCUUAACCAUUCUUAUGUCCUUUAAUUUUCUGCACUUUGCUAGUAUUUUACUUUUAGAAUCCGUAGUCAGCUUGAAUCAUAUUAAUUUUCUGACAACUGAAUAAAAAAUAUUUCAAUAUUUCAUGCAUCUUGUUUAUUUGUUUGUUUUGGUAGUUUUUUUUAAGAAAGUGAAAGUAGUUUAAUUUAGAGAGAAGCCAUGGAAACCGGGAAACAAAAAUGAGAUUGUGAUUGGGAAGGAAGGGAUCGUCAUCAAUAAAAUUGCUUUACUAAGCAAGUUAUUGCUGGAGGUGACAAAACUUUGAUCCCACUAGAGCCUUUAAAAGCCAGUAUCGAACACACUGUUCAGUAAUGCCACUCAAAUGAGCAGUGCAUUUAUUUAUUCAUUCUUUAUCAGUCAUUUGGUUGGUAGUAUGUUAUUAAUUCCACAGUAAUUCUGACUUGCCACUUGCAUGGACAAAUUGGGUUCCAGCUGCCAGAAAAAUCCUUCAGGCAAAGGAUGCAGCUGCCACCAGUUGGAAUUCUAGGGGAUACUUGGUCUUUAUAAUUUCUGAGUACAUAAGCAUCUACUAUAUGUGCUUAAUACAAAUGAAUGCCAUUUUAAUGUACCUUAAAAUUUCUAAGCAAAUACAUGAAAAGCAAUGUCUAAUUUCUUGCUUAUUUUCAAGGUAUACAGAUAACUCUGUUAUAUUCAGAAAGAGCAGGGACCUGAAAAAAAAAAUCUGUGUUAAAGUCUCAUAUGAACUAAAAAGAAAAAGUAAUUUAUUCUUCUGCUACUUCUCUUUUCAGUAAGGGUGGUUGCCUUGUCUUGCUCAUUGCAAGAAUGAAAGCUGUAUAAGUUGAAUGAAAAUAUAAAUAUGACUUUGAAGGUGGGUAAGUCUUACCUUCCCUUCUAGCAGUCUCUGAAGUUGCUUGAACAAUGGCUUAUUUUAUUAUUAGUUGGGACUCUUUGGUUGCAAGUAAUGGAAGUAUACUUGAACUAGAUUAGCAAAAAUGUAAGGCUUGUUAUAACAUUGCACAAGCACAGAACUCGCUGCUGGCUGGUAAGAUAUAGGACUACUGCAUUAUGGGGAUUUUUGAAUUCUAAUCUACUAGAGGGACCAUUGUUUUAAAAGUUCUUUAGAAGUUAUUCUUGGAACUACUAUUUAUACACGAAAGAAUGUGGAUGGAUCUCAAAAGCAUUAUGGCAAAAGACAGAAACAAAAGGCUACAUAUUGUUUCAUUCCAUUCACCUAACAUUUUAAAAAGCACAAAACUAUAGCAGUAAAAAUGAAUCAGUGGUCCCCAGAGACUAGGGGUAAAGGAGCAACUAUAAAAAGGAGACUUUUGGGAUAAUGGAACUAUUUUAAAUAUUGACUAUGGUUGUGGUCACAAGACUGCAAAACUGUAUACAGUUAUUAAUAUUUAUAGAACAAUACACUUCAAAAUGGGGGAUUUUAUUGAAUGCAAAUUAUACCUCAAUAAACCUGAUUGCUUUUUAAAAUAUAUAUAUAUAUAUAAAUAUGAAAUAGAUUAUUUUUAGUAAGUGACUAGAAAAAGGGCAAGCAAAAUAAUCGGUAACUUAGUAGGCAGCAAAUUAUUGUUCAUUUAUUUAACUCAGGUUUUAGAAAGUCCAUUGUGAAGCUAGUAAAAGAUUGUGAUUUGAAUUAUUUCUCAAAUUAUAGAUGAUUUUUAAUGAAGACAACAGAUAUACCUAAUAAAUUAUUUUUAAUUGAUCCAUGGAUACUAUCUUAUCUUUAUUCACACUUAGAUAUAAGAAAACACUAAAGAUAGACUUAGCAUGUUUCUAAAAUUAAUUUCUCUAAUUUGCAACACAGCACAUAAUAGUCAUGAUAAUUAAGCCAACUGAUAUCAUAAUUUAUGAUUACUUCUUGUCAGAAACUGUGAUAUUAUUUCCAUUGAGUAGGAAGUGGGGAGUGGGGCAAUUAAACUUAGUGCUAGAAUUAUUCUCCUUUUAAGCAUAAUUCAUCAAAAUCAAGAGUGAGCUUCAAAAUGACCAGUAAUAAAAGUAGGAAGAGAGAUGAUUUUCUAUAAAGUGCAAUUUAUGGAUUCUGGAUUCACAGAGAAAAUAAACACAUAGUGAAUUAGGUAAAAAUAAAAGAGGUAAAAUAUCCUGCAUGUAUUCUAUUAACAAGAUCAAAAGAAAACAAAAUUUACAUUACCGUAGAGAUCUUUAUAGCACCCCGUUUGUUAAAUUGAUAUUGUUGUGUUAAAAAAUUGACACAGACAUAUUAAUGGCUACAAAGAAAGAAAUAAAGAACUCCUUCUCACUUUUAAAUAGAUUCUGGAUUCUAGAGGAUAGUCCACACUUUCUUGUGCAAUUGUUUAAAUGUUGAAAUUGCUGACAUUAAGUGUGUAUGCAUUUACAUGUUGAAAUGCCACACAAAGGGUUUAUUAAUUUACUCUUUUUAUAAGCAAUGUAAGUCCUUGGUCUCUACAGUCUUAUCAAUAUCAAGUAUUUUGUACAUUACUGAUUUUGCCAAUUUAGUAUAUGAAGAAAAAGCCCACAAUAUAAUCUUUAUUUUGUUCAGUGGUAAGCAAAGUUAAACAUAUGUUUUUUAAAAGUCCCAUUUUGCGUCUUGAUUUCAAAUCAUCUGGUCAUAUUCCCAAAUAUUUAUAUGUUGCAUUCUUUGAUUUUUAUUCAUUUAUGGAAAAGUUUCGGGGAUAAAGAAGGAUUAGUAUUUUCUGUGUUCCACAUGGCUGUUCUAGACCAUUGAAACUCCUGUCCACAUAGUGUCUUAUUUUUUUUAAUAGUUUCACAUAGAAAGUAUGUUAAUAUACAUGAUCUUUUAAUUAUUUCCACAUAAAAGGUAUUUAGAAUUUAUCAUUAUUAUCAUCAUUUCAACUUUAGACUUAAAUAAACUGAACCUCAAAGUGGUCAAUGACUUGACCGAGUCCCAAGUAGAAAUGAAGCUGAUUUUCUGGCUUCUUUCGUAUUUUUUCAAACUACAUAUAUUCAUUACAUUUAUUUUACUAACAAAGUAUUGCUUUAUCCUUUCUUAUGAACCAGCAUUUUUAUUGUUUUUUUAAUUAAAUUUAUUCUUAUUAAUAAAAAAACAAGUCAAUUCCUUGGAAAUUUUUGCCGAAACCUGUUUUACAUUUCAAUAUCUCCAUAAUUGGCCAUAGGCUUUAAUGACAUUGAACUCCUUCUUUCUCUGUUGCUUCAGGCUUGUCCAUAGAAGUAAAUAUUCGCAUGAUUUUAACUUUCCAAACUGGCCCGAAAUAAUUUGUCUUAACUAUUGUCAAAUUAUUACCCACUUUGUAAAGCUGUGUUCAGUUUCUUCUCCUCAAUGAAAACGUUCAUGGUCAUAUAAAAAUAUGAUUACAAUUUUUCUCACUCUCUGAGUUACCUUGUAUUUUAUAAUAUUUUCAUGUAAGAAAAUGAGCUGUCCAUUUUAAAUGUCCAUCAUAAUUCUUCAAAUAAUGUUUAUAAAAUUAUACUCACUGGCUAGUAAUAUGCAGUUUGGCAACAGAAUGAGACUAUAUACAAAUUAAUAAAGUCAGUUGUUGGUCACAGUUAACAAUAAUUUUUCAUAAGCUUGGAGUUGAGGAAAUUCAAAGGCACUCAGUAUUUUUUUAAAUUAAGAAUUGCAAGAAGAAAGAGACAGAAAAUGAGUAUGUUAUUCAAAAUGAAAAGAUCAAUGCAAUCAUCCAAACCCAGUUAAGACUGUGUAACAGUGCAAAACAAGGUGUUUCUAAUAUUUCUAGAAUAUCACUGUCUUUCCCUUAUAGUAGGCUCAAGAUUUCUUUAAAUGACGUAGGGAAAGUAACUUUCCAUCGGCAAGACAGAAAAUAGCUAUUGGGAGAUUAGGGUAGGAGACGGAAGGAAAGCAAAGGGAAGGGAAGGGGAGGGGAGGGGAGGGAAGGGGAGGGGAAGGAGAAUGGCAGGAAAGAACAAGAAAAGGAGGGAGAAAGAACUAAGAAAGGAAGAGAGGAAGGGAGGGGAGGAGAGAGAGAGGAAAAGAGGAUGAAAAAUGAGAGGUGGAAUAACAGCUAGACAGGAAAGGAGAAUGAGAAAAGUAAGACGCAAACAGGGAGAGCAAAAAUUAAAGUAACCUAGAUGUGGCAGUCAAGAGAUUGUGAAAGAUGUGUAUACAAAAGAGGGGCCAUACCACAGCAGUAACUUGACCACAGCAGUAACUCAAUGCAUGAUUUGUGUUCCUGUAUCUUUUAAUGGCACAAGUCCUGGGACCUUUGAUGAGGCUCUGUCUAAUCAUAGAAGGACUCUGCCACCAGAAUAACCUAGUUUGCAUAAACUUUCCUCGUGUUUUCUUUCACUCCGCUAUCCAGACUGUAGGGUGUGCCUUACAUUAUUUAGCUGAAUUGUCAACAGGUGUACUGAGUAAACUGUUUGAUUUAUAAAUAUCUCUGUAUCUAAUCAUGUAUCAAUUUCUCAAAUUAUGGUGUUUCACAUAUUGGUUUCUCUAAAGAUUAUUUCAUUUCACAAUUUGAGGCAGUUUUGUGAAAAGAAACAUAUACAUAUAUUUUAAUUUCUGCCUGAAAUAUACAACAUUGAAUUUCAUUCAAAUAUUUAAUGCCUUCACAAAUAAAACGUAGCUAGUGUUUCAUGUUGCUGUUUAGAAGUUUAUUGAAAUAUGGCAGAUAAAAUGCUAUAGAGAUAUUAUUAUGUUUAAUAAUUCAGUAGUUGCUUCAAAUAUGCUAUAAAGUGUUGGAAUAUGGCCAGUUAACUUUAAAAUAUAGAAUAAUAAAAUAAUUGGAUUUAAAAUUGCUUCAUAUUAUUUUUGUUUAAUAAAAAGACAAUCCAUGUCUUAGGUGUACCCUUUUAAAUCCUAUCUACUUUCUGAUUCUUAGGAUUCUUAAAAAGAAUAUUGUAAUGACUGAACAGAAAUAUUAUAUCUGAUUUUGUACUAGAAAAUUGAAGCAGCAUGGGAUCAUGGCUAAGUAAGAGCUUUAUAGCAGUAGCAAAUAGUUACAUGAUUACUGAAGUAUAGCUGUCACUGGAAAUAGAAAGCUGCAAGGAACCUAUCAUAAAAGUAGCAAUUUCAGUUUCACUAGUGUUUAAAAUUAAAGCCUAGUAAUUCAUUGUGGAUGUAUUUCCUCAAUGGUUUCAGGAAAGUAUCCUGCUUUCACUGAGCAUUUUCACUUUGUUCCUUAUGUGUUUCCUUUCAUAAUGAAAAAGUUGUAAUUUCAGAUUGGUAAAACAAUUGUUAGGACUUUGUGAACAAACACUCAAAAAGUUUUGUGUCAUGAAAUAAUGAUUAGUCAAUUGUAUUUAUUGUUAUAACACACUAUGUUAAAAAUUCACUGCCAGAUGAUCCACAUUAUGUUAGGUAAACCAAUUUAAUCAACAGUUUCCUCUUUUGACAUAUAAUUAGCUGAUGGAUGAAUUUAGAGGUGUAAAAAACCUUCAAAUAAAAGCGUUUAUGGAAAAAAAUAAUGGCUGUUUAUGGAGUUUUGCAUACAUGUGUUACUGUCUUAAGAAGCUGAAAUGAGAUUUAAGAAAUUGAACAAUAUUUAAAGAAAAAGAUAACUUUUUUUUUUUUUUUUUUUUUUUUUUACAAUUUGGUUUACCGUGAAAAGCAUUUGGACAGAUGUAUCUAUUGACAUGUAAUAUUGCUGAGGGACAUUGACAAACGUAGUCUCUAAAAAAUUUAGGGGAGUUUAUAAAAAUAACCACAGUUUGAGAUAAAUUAAAGUAAACAUAGAAGAUACUGAACACAAACAGUAAUAAAUAAUUAUAUUGAAAAGGUUUCGGAGAAAAGAUAAUCAGUUUGGUAAUGAAUAACAUUUUUCUCAUAUAAUAUUUUAAGUACUAGAGGAAUAUGGUUCAAUGAUAACUUGUAUGUAAGGCACUUUUCUUGACAAUACUGAAUACAAAAACAUAAUUACCACAUAAUAUAGACAUUCUUUUAUUAAAUAUUUUUUAAGAAUUUAUUUUUAAAGUAAUGUUUU
rnacentral:lncRNA from 1 species